ensembl:lncRNA
CUCUCUCUCUCUCUCUCUCUCUCUCUCCCUCUCUCUCUCUCUCUCUCUCUCUCUCUCUCUCUCUCCCUCUCUCUCUCUCUCCCUCUCUCUCUCCCUCUCUCUCUCCCUCGCUCUACCUUAGUGCAGCUUCCAUGUUCUCUGUUUUCCACUUAUCAUUUCAGUUCUUCUACUUUAGCUGCUUCGCUGGUAUUUUAAGUCCAAUUAAGACUAAAUAAUGAAGUGGAGUCCUAAAGAAAGACUCCACAAAACUUAAACCCCCAAAAUUUGAAAAACAAGUAGAACUUAUUGUGUUACCAUCAGAGAGUUUACUAGACGUUGUACAUUUGUAGAUAUAAAUUAAAGAACAAUGAAGCUGUGAGCUUUAGUACGAGUUGAGAGACCACCUGAGAGCGUGGAAAGCUCUGGGUGGGUUACGCAACGCGGGAAACUCACAGACGCGUUGAUCGUGUAAAAACAUUUGGAUAAACUGUGGAAUAAGUACGAAGAAACGAUGCAUCAGGUGACCACCUUUAGAGAUGAUGGCCGCCGCCAUCUGAAAGCGCCGCGUUCAUUUGGACUCAACAGGUGAACGAGGUAAAUAAAGCGGCUCACAGCGUUGCCCCACAGACUACGAUUGGCAGUUACAGAACAACACGGCAUCGAAUAAGGUUCUUGAUCUUGAGCUUUAAAGACACAACCGUUGGCAAACUGACCGACUAGAGGUGGAAAAGGGGCCACACGGCGAGGGAAGUGCCCUCCAGAGGAACAUCUAACUAAACCUGCUAACAUCAGCCACUCGCCACACCAGACCACUUAGAGCUGAGGCACCAAAACCCCUUGAAUGUAUUGAAUUCAAGCUUCUCCUCCCAUAGAAAGGUACGGCCUGACGUUAAAGGUUAAACUGAGAAUAGAUGAAGAACUGCAGAAUUGCGAGUGGACCUUGUGAUCGUUUCGCCGUGUUCUCCAUGUUAUGUCGGUGGCCGUUUGGCAUUUGGUUAAUCGUUCAUCCAAAAUGAAACUCCUUUCAGUGGAAGUGCUUGAUGACGCAGAGAGCGAUGGCUGAAGCGUCGUCCUCCUUCACAAUUACUGUCAAUCAGCUGUCCUCCCCGUCUCCCUUUUGAUCCGAAUCUGACAAGUGGACGGCAUCCAACAGCCCGACUCCUGGGACACGCACACACACAUGUUGUCGUUAUCCACUGGAUAAGGAUCCUGUUGUUGAGGUGUGAUCGAUGCACAACUCAUGGCCAUGAUUUACGCCUGAUGCCUUUUUUCCUUACACGACUGAGGAAUGCAGCGCUCAGCAGUCCUCCCGUUGGCGCCGUGGGGAGUCGCCGACUCUUUGACCCCCCCCACUGAGGGCGUAGCCAGGCGUCCUGAAGAUGCGGGAGGACAGGAGGAUGACGCCGUUACAGAAAACAUCCCGCCUGUACCCGCUCAGGCAGGAUGCCGUUACUCACCUUGUGGCUCAUCUGUUCCAUCAGUGCCUUAAGUUUGCACCAUUAUAUUAUAGAUAUAUCAUCUAUUUGACAGUUCAAAGAAGUAAGUCUGAAAUCAAAUCUGGCAGACGCACAAAGUUCUGGUAAGUGGAUUCCGAGCACACUGACCUGUGACUUGUUUCAGUCUGUGCAAAACAAGGCCUUAUAAACACUUCAGCACAUGAAGAACGGGAAGUGGUGACCGAUGUUGUUGAUGGCCAGCCCACUGUACUCACGGCUCAUUAAAAGAAGCUGCGUUCUUGGCUACUGUACCUUCUGCAGUGAACUGUGGCUGGCGCGGGAGGUAGCAGUGAUAAGGCCAAGAAUAAACCAGAGGCCUCCCGGGACACGUGAUGCACGACACAAACCAGAUGCAAGAGGAGCUCUAGGGGGGGAACCAGGGUGGUGUUCGCGUUGACUCCCGUCCCCCCUUUCGUUUACGAUAAAUCUUGAAAAGGCAAUUUGUCUGGACAGAUACG